AAAAUAUAAUCUGAUAAUUAAUGGUUUGCUGAAUCCAUUAUGAAGUGCAAUUAGAUAGAUGCAGGGUUCCCGCGGCUCAGAGGGGACCGGUAGCAUUUAUCUUCCUUUCCCUAAUGCCAAAAGGUUGAACUCUGCCGCUGCAAUAUUUACAUACGGAGCGGUGAUCCCUGCCACAGUCCUGUGGUGAGCAGCGCCUGCUUCAUCACACAGCCCAGGAGAUGAACAGAUUGGAGUUUUCCAGGAGGUUUUUGUGACGCCGUGGUAGUUGGUCAUUCCCGUUCCAGCUCGAAGAGUGGAAUUGAACAGCAAGGAAUGUGGUUUGUCCCCAGGGCUUUGCUGCGACAGCGGAAAGGAGGUAGUGUCACUCCCACUGAAAUCAGGAAUGACCAGGAGAUGGUGCUCAAGGUCUUGAGUAGUGCCAGCGGACAGGUGUCUGCUCCGCCGAGAGCCAGCCCUGCUGCACUGUGCUCCAUCAGCUCCUGUCAGGCUGAAGCUCAGCCCCGGGCCCUGCAAAUCGCUGCAUAAAGAAGAGGCUGGAGCCGGAGGGACUAAAACACAGAUGCUGCUGGGGUGAAGCAGUGAGGCCUGCACCCUGCACUCAGGUCAGGCUGGAGCAGUGAGGUCACCCUGGAGGGCACCGUCCAAUGGUUCUUCAACCACAUCAAUUAAUGAGGGAGGUAGAUGGGAGCUUCACCCCUCAGCUUGUGGAGAGAGAUGGAGGCGUCCUCCAAGAGAUGGAGCUUGCUCUCCUCCUGGCUGCAGUCAGGUGAGCAGAGCUGUGCUGUGGGAUUCCAGCUGCCUGCAGAGAUAAUCCCUGCCCCUCUAGCAGUGCCCAACCUGCUGUCAGGCAUGACCAUGCCUCUCCCUGACAUGCAAAUCCGCCUAUUUUUUUUUGCCCAUGGAAGCCGUGGCCAUAUGCCACCACUCCACAGCAUCGCUCUCCUUGUCGCAUUCACCCGCUGCACAUCGAACCCGACGUCGUUUGCUCUCUGAGCAUCCCUUGGCUGCUGUUAUUCAGUCCAGUGACAUGGAGGCUUUUUCCAGCCUGCUUACAGAUCACAGCGGAUUUGGCUGUACACAGGAGUAGGUCGGGGGAUCCCUGCGGCGUGCACGAGCUUCCAUUUAUCAACACGACGUUUCCCUUGCAGCGAGAUGGGUUUCUGUUAGCAGUGAGAUCCCUCUGCAGCUCCUCUCUCCCUGGCUAACCCAGAUAAUCUGCCACAGCUCCGUGGGCCUGUUAAACACACACAGUGCUGCUGUCCUUGUGCACAGCCAGGGCAGGUUGUGAGAUUCUGCACUCCCCUGAGCGUGGGAUGCCGUCAGGUUUUUAUUGGAAGUCCAAGCAAACAAAUCUGGAAGGAUCAGUGCUGCUGGUGGGGCGUUGGGUGCCAAGUUGUGUCCUCCUUCAGCUCUGGUGGAGAGGAAGGGGGUGUUACCAUUGCUGUAUCCCUUUGGGACCCUCCUGUGGUUACCCAGGCUGGGGCAUGCAGUGUAAUGAGAGCCCAGCUGUGUACACCCAGCUUCUCCCUGAGCAUCCUUCAGGAAAAUCAAUGAGGAAUAGGAUUUGCCAUGCUGGUCCAGCGUGCUCGGGGUCUUCUCUUUGGUCCCAUGCUGCAGAGGUGACCAUCCUUUGCUGCUCACACAAACAUUUCUUGCAACAAACAGUCCCUCCUGGUGGCCCCCCAGCCAUAGGUCACGUCCAGUCUAGUGCUUUCCUCUCCCUCAGAAGGAGGCAGCUGAGAUUUGUGAGCGUUAGCUUCAUUAUUCAGCAAUUAAAAUGUUCCGGCCUCGUCGCGACGCGGGAGUGCAUUAAUGAUUUAUAGCAGCGCGCUUUGAUUCGACGGCACCGGAACGAACUUUGAGAGCGGUGAAUUCUGCUGAAAUCCCAAAUGCAGAUCCCAAAAUAUUGUCCCUUGCUGGUCUGAGCCCGUCCCAACCCU
rnacentral:lncRNA from 1 species